rnacentral:lncRNA from 1 species
AGAAGAGACAGUCAAACCUCAACUGCUAGAGGUUGCCCAGUGUGGUGGGAUAUUGACUUGUGGGCCAUAGACGCGCACUUCAGAACUGGGAGGAACCCGGGAUAGCAUGCAGCUCCAGACCCCUCACUUGGCUGAAAAA